rnacentral:rRNA from 1 species
UACAGAGGUCUCAAGCGUUGUUCGGAUUCAUUGGGCGUAAAGGGUGCGUAGGCGGCGCGGUAAGUCGGGUGUGAAAUUUCGGAGUCUUAACUUCGAAACUGCAUUCGAUACUGCCGUGCUUGAGGACUGGAGAGGAGACUGGAAUUUACGGUGUAGCGGUGAAAUGCGUAGAUAUCGUAAGGAAGACCAGUGGCGAAGGCGGGUCUCUGGACAGUUCCUGACGCUGAGGCACGAAGGCCAGGGGAGCAAACGGG